AAAAUAAUACAAGAUCGUUGGCAGAAAACACUAAAACAUCCACUUCAUGCAGCAGCAUACUUCUUGAAUCCAAGAUUUCAAUAUAGGCGUGGAGUUGGUAGUGAUCCGGAACUACUUCAAGCUGUCCAUGAUGUUUUUGCAAAAUUAGAUCCAACUACUGAAUCGCUUGGUCAAUUUGGAAAUGAGCUUGUACUUUUUCGAGAUGCAAAAAGAGGAUUCGGUGAUCGAGCGGCAAUUGCAUCAAGGUCAACCAUGGUGCCCGGUGAGUCUUUAUAGGAAAAAAUUGAUUAUUAUUAUUGUAAGUUCACCACAUAAGUAUUUAUAUGAUUAUCAAAUUCGUUGCAGCUGAAUGGUGGUUUAUGUAUGGGAAUCAAACACCUACAUUGAGAAAGUUAGCCAUCAAAGUUCUCUCACAAACUGCGUCAUCUUCUGCAUGUGAGAGAAAUUGGAGCACGUUUGCUCUCAUCCACACAAAGCAACGAAAUCGUUUGGCUUACCCUCGAUUGGAGCAAUUAGUGUUUUGUUACUAUAAUAUGAGGCUAAAGUUACGCGAUAUGGAGGCAGAAAAUGAUCGAGUUGCUGAAAAAGAUUACCUUGAUCUUCUUGACAUUUCAGCCGAGGUGGGUGAAGAAGAAGAUAAUCAGUUGUUCCAGUGGGUUAGGCCUAUACACUUGGAUGACGAAGUUGGAAAUCCUGAUCCAC